UGUAAGGGCGCCGGUCUGUUGCCGCGCCACGGUAAAAGUAUGUGCCGAGCCGAGUGGGAAAGGUCUAAGAAAGAUGUAGUCUCCGUUGGGACCGUGGUACGCGCCCGAUCGAUGUGAGAGUUCUUUCGGGGUUGUGCUGCGUGUGUGUACCUCCAUGUAUGUGUGUUUGAGUAGUUGAGUUGAAUAGAAACCAACAUACAGGUCGUUCGGCGGCCGGGGCGUUCGUCGCCGGAAAAUCCUGUUCAUCUUCUUCUACCUUCCUCCGGCGUUCGUCGCCGGAGGGCGGUUCGGCGUAUGUUGCUGGUGGGUUGGUCCCAACAAUGGCAGGGACGACAAAGAAGGGCGACGGCACGCCAAAGAUGACCAUCACCGGUGGCACCGCCGACGCCGGAGGCCCCUGCAUCCACGACCAAAGUAGAAUCUCGAGACGGCCAAAACCGAGCUCAACGACAAUGCUUCGCCGCCGCCGCCCUUGGUAGUCGCAAGGCUUCGCCAGCGGCGAUCUCGAGCGACGCGAUGGGUGGGGAAUCGAAAGAAGGUUGAGAUCUCCGGCCUCUGCAUCAAUAGAUGAACGCCAGCAAGUGAGAACAAGCUCUUCAAAUCAAACACUCGGAAUGAUUUUAGGGGAGGAUGACCCCCGGCCUCUGCAUCUGAGAGAAUGUUACUGAAUAUAUAAAAUAAUCUUAUCCAACCAUAUCAUGUAGUUGAUUUAUUUUUGGAUAUACGUCCGCAAUUAGAUGGUUUUAGUUUUUGUUCAUCCUCUUGCAUCUUGUGGUGCGGACUCGUUUCUAGAAAUAAAAAUAGAUUUGAAAGGAAUUGCUCUCUUGUCUCGAAAUGUAUGUGUGGAGAACGGCUGCAUAUACAAGAGUCAGACAAUGUCA